UGCAACUCUGGUCCUUCCAUAACAAUGAGACUCCAUCAGCUCCACACUUUGCAUCUCCACAGUGAGCCCUUGGGACCGAAAAUGCUUAAAUAGAACUAUGUUCCUUACAUAACAGUGGGACCCAUCAGUGCUCACGUUGCAUCACCAUAGUGAGUCCUUGGGACCGAAUGUGCUUAAAUGCCAGCAUGGUCCUAUAUAACAGUCGAACAGCAUCAGCUUCACAUUUAGCAACCGCACAGUGAGUCCUUGGGACUGAAUAUGUUUAAAUGGCACUAUGGUUCUUACAUAACAGUGGGACCCCAUCACCUGCACACUUGGCAUCACCGCAGUGAGUUCUUGAGACCGACAGUGCUUAAAUGCCAGCACGGUCCUAUAUAACAUUCGAACACCAUGAGCUUCACACUUAUACCACCACAGUGAGUCCUGGGCCCGAAUGUGCCUAAAUGCCACUAUGUUCCUUACGUAACAGUGGGACCCAUCAGCUGCACACUUUGCAUCACCGCAGUGAGUUCUUGAGACCGAAUGUGCUUAAAUGCCAGCACGGUCCCAUACAACAGUCGAACAGCAUCAACUUCACCCUUUACCACCACAGUGAGUUCUUGGGACUGGAUGUGCUUAAAUGCAACUCUGGUCCUUCCGUAACAAUGAGACUCCAUCAGCUCCACACUUUGCAUCUCCAGAGUGAGUCCUUGGGACCGAAUGUGCUUAAAUAGAACUAUGUUCCUUACAUAACAGUGGGACCCAUCAGCUGCUUAUGUUGCAUCACCAUAGUGGGUCCUUGGGACCGAAUGUGCUUAAAUGGCCGCACGGUCCUAUGUAACAGUCGAACAGCAUCAGCUUCACACUUUACCACCACAGUGAGUACUUGGGACUGAAUGUGCGUAAAUGCCACUAAGGUCCUUACGUAACAGUGGGACCCUUCAGCUGUAUACUUUGUAUCACAUAGUGAGUCCUUGAGAGCAAAUAUGCUUAAAUGCCAGCACGGUCCUAUAUAACAUUCGAACACCAUCAGCUUCACACUUUUACCACCACAGUGAGUCCUGGGGACUGAAUGUGCCUAAAUGCCACUAUGGUCCUUACGUAACAUGGGACCCAUCAGCUGCACACGUUUACCACCAUAGUGAGUACUUGGGACCUAAUGUGCUUAAAUGGCACUAUGGUCCUUAUGUAACAAUGAGACUCCAUGAGCUUCAGCUUUGAAUCACUAGAGUGAAUCCUUGAGACCGAAUGUGCUUAAAUGCCAGCAUGGUCCUAUAUAAGAGUCGAACACCAUCAGCUUCACACUUUACCACCACAGUGAGUCUUGGGGACUGAAUGUGCCUAAAUGCCACUAAGGUCCUUACGUAACAGUGGGACCCUUCAGCUGCACACUUUGUAUCACAUAGUGAGUCCUUGGGACCGAAUGUGCUUAAAUGCCAGCACGGUCCUAUAUAACAGUCGAACAGCAUCAGCUUCACACUUUACCACCACAGUGAGUACUUGGUACUGAAUGUGCCUAAAUGCCACUAUGGUCCUUACGUAACAGUGGGACCCAUCAGCUGAACACUUUUACCACCACAGUGAGUACUUGGGACUGAAUGUCUAAAUGCCACUAAGGUCCUUUCGUAACAGUGGGACCCAUCAGCUGCACACUUUGCAUCACAUAGUGAAUCCUUGGGACCGAAUGUGCUUAAAUGCCAGCACGGUCGUAUAUAACAGUUGAACACCAUCAGCUUCACACUUUUACCACCACAGUGAGCUUUACACUUUGAAUCACUACAGUGAGUUCUUGGGACUGAAUGUGCCUAAAUGCCACUAUGGUCCUUACAUAACAUGGGAACAAUCAGCUUCACACUUUGCAUCACCACAGUGAGUACUUGGGACCAGAUGUCCUUAAAUUCCACAUGUUCCUUAUAUAACUGUAGGAUCCCAUUCCUGAAACUUUUUCAUACCACUGUAGGUGCUUGGGAGUAAUUCCGCCCAAAUGACACUCUGGUCCUUCUGUAACAAUGGGACCGGAACCCUGCACACUUUGCAUCACACAGUGAGUAUGUGGGACCUAAGUACUUAAAUGCCACUAUGGUCCCUACCUAACAGUGGGAUCCCUUGAGCUUCACACUUUGCAUCAUAGUGAGUGCUUGUGACCGAAUGUGCUUAAAUUCUGUUAUGGCCUUACAGAACUAGGAUGUGGUCCCUAACACCUUUCAACACCACAGUGAGUACUUGGGACCGAAUGUGCUUAAAUGCCAGCACGGUCCUAUAUAACAGUCGAACACCAUGAGCUUCAGUCUUUUAUCACCACAAUGAGUACUUGGAACUGAAUUGUCUUAAAAGGCACUCUGGUGCUUACCUAACAAUGAGACUCCAUUAGCUUCAUACUUUGAAUCACCACAGUGAGUCCUUGACACUGGAUGUACUGAAAUGCCAGUAUGGUCCUUAUAUAACUUAGGACUAAUUCCCUACACCGUUUGCAUCUGCAACCUGAGUUCUUUAAACUGAAUGUGCUUAAAUGGCACUCUGGUCCUUACAUAAGAGUGGGCCCCCAUCAGCGUCACACUUUGUACCAUCACAGUGAGUGCUUGGACCAUAUGUGCUUAAAUAUCAUGUGGUCCUUAUAUAACUAUAGGAUUUCAUCUCUAAAACUUUUUCACACCACUGUAGAUGCUUGGGAGUAAUUAUGUCCAAAUGGCACUCUAGUCCUUCUGUAACAAUUGAACCCAAACCCUGCACAAUUUGCAUCACACAGUGAGUACAUGGGACUGAAUGUGCUUAAAUGCCACUCUAGUAGUUACCUAACUAUGGGACCUCAUCGGCUUCAGACUUUGUAUCACCACUGUGAGUAUUUGGACUGAAUGUGCUUAAAUGGCACUCUUGUCCUUACGUACGAGUGGGACCCCAUCAGCUUCACACUUUAUACCAUAACAGAGUGCUUGGACCAUACAUGCUUAAAUGCACAUGGUCCUUAUAUAAGUAUAGGAUCUCAUCCCUAAAACUUUUUCAUACCACUAUAGAUGCUUGUGAGUAAUUAUGUCCAAAUGGCACUCUGGUCCUUCUGUAACAAUGAGACUCCAUCAGCUUCACACUUCGCAUCACCACAGUGAGUCUUUGGGACCAAAUGUGCUUAAAUGCCACGAUGGUCCUUACGUAACAAUGAGACUCCAUUAGCUUUACACUUUGAAUCACUACAGUGAGUUCUUGGGCCUGGAUGUGCUUAAAUGCCACUGUGGUCCUUAGGUAACAGUGGGACCCCAUCAGCUGCACACUUUGUAUCACCAUAGUGAGUUCUUGUGAGCGAAUGUGUUGAAUGCCGCUAUGGUCCCUAUGUAACUGUAAGGUCCCAUGCCUAAAAACUUUUAUCAUCACAGUGAGUGCUUGGGACUGAAUAUGCUUAAAUGGCACUCUGGUCCUUACAUAACAAUGAGACUCCAUUAGCUUCACACCUUUAAUCACUACGGUGAGUCCUUGAGACUGAUUGUACUUAAAUGCCAGUAUGGUCCUUAUAUAAAUGUAGGACCGAUUCCCUACACACUUCGCAUCUCCACCGUGAGUACUUAGGACUGAAUGUGCUUAAAUGCCACUCUGGUCCAUACCUAACAAUGAGACUCCAUCAGCUUCACACUUUGCAUCACCACAGUGAGUGCUUGGGACCAAAUGUACUUCAAUGCUUCAAUGGUCCUUAUGGAACUGUAGGAUCCCAUCCCUAAAAAUUUUCACUUCCACAGUGAGUCCUUGGGACUGAAUGUGCUUAAAUGCAACUCUGGUCUUUCCAUAACAAUGAGACCCCAUCAGCUCCACACUUUGCAUCACCAUAGUGAGUGCUUGUGAGCGAAUGUGUUUAAAUGCCACUCUGGUCCUUAUGUAACUAGGAUCCCAUCCCUAAAAAUUUUCAUCACCACAGUGAAUACCUGGGACUGAAUAUGCUUCAGUGGCCUCUGGUCCUCAUGUAACUGGGACCCCAUCUUGGGACUGUGGAUACUUUUCGUUAAUUGUCCAUGGUCUUGUGAGUGAAUUUGGGUUCCUGACUCUUCCCAGCCUCUUUGUUUUACUCUCCACCUAAGGGCCCUUUCUCAGUGUUAGUGCACACAAUCAUUACAGUAGCAUCCCGCCACACCUCGCUCCCUCUUAAAGUGCACAGGAAUUGUGACCCGUAAGGUCCCAUUUCUUGGCCUGUUAAUACAUAUGACUGUAUCUGUCUGGGCUCCUGUGCACUUGCCAAGGACACCUGUGCUUACUCCCAUUUGUUCCAGCAGGGAGUGUCCCCUCCAGAAGACCGUUCUACUGGGACAGGCAUGGUACACAGCUGUAACUGAUGAGGACCAUGCAUGCGGGGUAUGAAUAUGCAUAGCUGCACAUGGUUCAUUCCAUUAGAAUAAGCUGCUACCCCCUUAGACCCUUAAGUUACUGAGGCCUUGUUUCAUGGCUUGCUGUUCUGCAUAAAUGCAUUUGUCCAUGUUCCUUUAUAGUAGGUAAACACACCUGUCCUCAAUCCCAGAGCCUUUUAGCAACGAGUGCCUGCUACUCUAAGAGCCUGGUAUUUGUACAAGGUACACGAUUUUAAUUCACCACACCACGUCCCUUGGAUAUUCAUGUAUAUAAUCUCAACUUAGUUUGUCCUACCCCGUUGGCCUCCAGUUUGCAGUAUACCACAGUUGCCAACCUCUAAAUGGCCUUUCUUGGCCUGUGAAUGUGCAUAAUUGCAUUUGUCUGGGUUUUGGUGCACCAGACAAGCACACUGCCCUGUUCUAUGCAAUAAACACCCCACCUACUUCCUUAGCAGUGCCCAGUACUGAAGACCCUGUCACUUGGAAAGUUCAUGUGUACAGAUGCAAUUUUCUAUGCACGUCCUAUACCAGAAGCACUGUACCCUCUUUGCUUUAUAGCAAGGAGGUGCUAUUCAACUAAUGCCCUUUCUUUGGGACUGUAAUGUGCAUGAUUGCAAUUGUCCAUCUCUUCUGUUGGAGUAGGAUUGCAUCCCCUCAUAUGCCCCCUUUGCAUUUGGGGCAUGUUAGCCAUGAAUGAGCUUUUCCCUUAAAUUAGUAAUGUGCAUAGUUGUAUGUGUAUGUUGACCUGUGCAGUAGAAAAGGAUGCUUUAUGUCCCUGCCACUGCCACUGAAUUACUGCUGACCAUUAUGACCUCAGGUCCUGAACAAUUAUUGGCACCAAUAACAACUAUCCAAAGUACUGAUUAUUGGGCAGGGCGCCUGAACCCUCUUUGUAUGUGUCAGGGUUAAUGACUCAGGCCCCUUUUGGGAACCUUUCAUGUGACUAUUUGCAAUUACCUAUGUAUGCCCCCUUCUGUUAGAGUAGGGUGCCAUUCCCUUACACCCCCUUUGCAUUACUGCAGGGGCAGCUGAGCACACAAAACCUCUCCUGGCAAUGGUAAUGCGCACAAUGGCAAUUAGCAAUGGGUUUUUCCCAGCCCCAAACAAACCCGUCAUCCCACUCCCUUUGCAUUGCUCCAGGAUAUAAAAUUCCAAGUAGUCACGGUCUUACUCUUAUGUUCCCUCUCCCCAGCCCCUGCCUGCCCUUGGACCCUUCUGAUGGACUAUUAAUCACAUUUCAGGUGUCCAUGUAUCCAGCCAUUGGAUAACAUUGUGCUUCCUCCGCCUUCCCACCCCUGCCCAGAUGUCAUUGGUUCACCCAGUGUAUUUGGAUUGCUGUAGUGCCUCAGUUGCACUUCCCUUGGUCCCGCCCAUCCGACACGGACUCCUCCACUUAAUUUGCAUUGCUUCUGAGUAAUGCUGACUACCCGAAGCCCCUUCUGUGUUAUUAAUUAACACAGUACUGAUUGUCCCACUUUUCAACCCAUCAGCCCGAGAUCUCCCUGCCCCCUCAAUGUUGUGAUUGUGCAGUGUUGACUACCAAAGCAGGCCUGAACUAGGUGGAUGGGCCUUCACUCCUUUUCCGCAUCUUUUAAGGAUCCCAAUUUCAAUUAUUGUCCCAGUGUGGGGACAGGAACCAUCCCUGGCCACCUCUGCUACUGCUUUACUGGGCAAAAAGCUUAAGGCAAGUCAGGCCCAGGGAGCUAUCUUUUGAGAAAGACAUGUGAAUUGCAAGGUGGAAUUGAUAACCUGGUCAUUGAAUUUUUCAAGUUGAAAAACCCAUUUACGCCGUGUACCUGAUGAGCAGUGUCUCAUUUUACUAAGGGUGGUGGGUCUGUGGAUAGACCACUGUGACGACUAUCCCAAAGGAGUUCUAGACUGGAACUCAUAAGACCAGUCAUUUUGGGCUUUACCACCAUUCACUUUUAGGAAAACUACCUAACCUUUGUGAUCCUUACAUUUCUUCAUCUGGAGCACUAACUGAGCCCCUAUUUAUCUCAAGAUUGCUGUAAAAGGAUGAAAUGAGAGAACAUAUAGCGUAGAUCACCUUAUUUGAUUAUUACAUAAAGCACACCCUGUUUAGUCGUGCUCAUUUAAAGUAGCCUCAAGGACCACCCUGAAGUAAGGACUUAGAGAUGAUGUUUCCCUGUUUUAUGUCAAAAAAAUAAGCCAAGGUCUAAUUGUUCUGGAUGUGAAUUGCAAUAGUGAGCUACCUGCGUGGUGAAAAUGAAUAAUAGCCUAGCCUCUAGUGUGCAUGGUGUUUGGUGGCAGAGAAGUAUUUCGUGAGGAAAUUACUAGUCAUGACAACAGCAGUUCUUUGUAAUGACUGAGAAAGGAUACUAUUCCGGGUAGAAGGAUGCCAAAAGGUCGGCCCAGCUCAGGGCGCAGUUUGCACUGCUAGCUCCUUGGACAGCUGUAAGAAGAGUCUCUGGCUCUUUAGAACACUGGAUGGAUUCUGAGCCAGCUCUGUACCCCUACACAGGAAGGACGGAACAGUGUUAGAUGGAUUGAAGCCUGCACUUCGCAUCCAAAGGACAUUCUGAGCAUGGACCACCUGAGGACUGGGCUGUAAGCAGCUCUAAGAAGCUCCACAUUCAAUGGAUCUUUCCUUUUGAGAAUCUGGAUAAGCUCCAAGCACUCUGAGAAGGUGGCUUACAGGCCACCUGGACCAAAAGGUCUUCCUGAGAAGAACAGGCUUGUUGCUUUACGGUGGUAGUGACCCAUUCCCUUUGACGGUCCUUAGGUGGAGAUGGGGCAUAAGGAUCCUCCAGGGGAAAGGCUCACCACCACUGGGCAACAACCCUAGGCCAGGAGGCUCAACCAAGAUUCUUUCCUGGGCCCCGACAGGAAGGUCAAGUCUCAAGACAACGUCAGAGCACCUGAUUCUUCCCUUUCUAUCUACCAGAAUCACCUUCCUCAAAAGCAGUGCAAGGAGCAAGAAAUCUGAUCGCACCAAAGAUUGACAUGCCUGACACGCGUUUUAGACGAGCAGGAUGAAUUGUGCCCUUUUUCCUCUGAAUGUCUGCUUUGGCUUACCUCUUUCACUCAAAAGUGUGCAUUUCUUUGCUUGUCUUUUUCUUCCUUGAAUGUCUUUGGUCUUUGUUCUCUAAAGUGUGUCUUACCCAUUUCUGGGAUUCUCUUGCUAGUUUCUUCUCUGUGUCUCACUUUCUAUUUUGUUCGUGAGAGUGGUCUUCUCUCCCUGUGUGUGUCUGCGUCCCAGCUGCCUGCUCUGUGCUCAUUUCUUAUCCUGCCCACCUCUCUUUUGUUCUCUCUGUGAACUGAUUGUUUGUGACUCUCUCCCCUUGUUUGUUUGACAUUUUACCUUUUUCUGAUCCUGCUGUUUCUACUCCAUCUUGGCUUUCCCUUUCCACAUGUCCUUUCUGCCUCUCUUGGGCCAUUUUCUCUCUUUUCCCUGCUCUGGGUGCCUCCAUGUCUCUUUGUUCUUUGUUUCUUCCAUUUUGUCAGUCUUCUCUCUUUUCUCUUGUUUCUUCUCUGCUUUUUCCCUUCUGCUGACUUUUGGGUCUUUUGGCCUCUUCAUGAGUCUGUGUCUUCCCCUCCUUGAUGUCCUGUAGUCUUCUCUCCUUGCAUAUUUUUUGUGCAUGUGUUUGCUCAUGCUUGCAUAUUUGUUGUGUUUGUGGGCUCUUAAGCCCUUUCUAAUAGGUGCAGUGUCAGCUAUCAAAAUAAGCGUUGCAGAGCGGUUCCUCUGUCAGGCUGUCCUGUGCGAUGAUGCCCAUAGUGGAUGCAAGGCCCAAGAAGACAGAUGCUUAGAGACUUGAAACCUGAGGACUCAAACUGAAAACACCUGAGACCGCUGGAAGCCCCAAGGGCCACAACGUAUACAGGGUGGCCUUUGUCGGACAAAACACUUGACUGAGUUGGACAGAAGGCUGAAAACCCAGGACGGGUCUUCAUGGGACUCAUAGAAGGCCUGAGAGCUGACAUAAAAAGACCCAAGGACGGGAGGCCUCAGACACAAAUAAAGACCCAGGAGUCAAACCUCUCUAUGUGGACUUGAAGGCCCAAGAGAGACUGGGUGGGCAGCUGCAGUCCUCUGACUUGGAAUCCAGAAGGAUAGACGCUCUAAGACCAAGACAAGAACCCUACACUCAGCUCUUUUCGUCCUCCCUUCUCUUGGACAUUUUCCAUUCUCCCCUUUCCAGCUCUCCUGUCUCCAUUUAAGCGCACUUAUUUUGAGAUAUCUUUUGUGAUGUAGAGAGACAUAUCUUUAAAUCAGCAAUAGUAUGCCUGAGCCAGUCUAAGCCAGUUUUUAUCACAGUUUUGAGACAUUUUUGGUGUUUUUUUUUAAAAAAAACUUCCAUUUCUCUUCACCUCUACUCCAUUUGAGAGAGACAUAUAGGUGAUGUUAUAUUUCAGUCCCCCCUUUUCCUCAGAAGCUCUAGGCUGAUGAGAAAGGGAAAUAAGUGCCAGGCUGUCCAGGCCGAUGGGAAGAAAUGAGACAAGAAAUACACACACGCGCCAGGCUGCUGAGAAGCACCAGCCAGCAACACCUUACUUCUUUGAGCUUUGGUGAGCAGGAUUCCUGGGGCUUGGGGUUCCUAGUGAUGGCAACAAAAAAGGAUGAGUGGUCCUGGGACAGUGAGGUCCAAGGAGGGAGCCUGAACCCCCUGCUCACAGUAGUGGCCUCAGAAUUUGGUAGACGGCACCAAACUUCCCUUGGCUUAAAGUUUAGAGAACUUGGGGAGUAUUUAUCAGGUUCAGGCCUUGAUUUCUUCCCUCUUACCAUGAGGAAAGAUAAUUCAAAUGGUUGACAGUAUAUAUGAAAGCAAGGUGUUCUCAUUAAUAGUGUCGUGGCAGCCACGCACUGCUGUUAUUUGAAAGUGCACGAUCAGUUGUGAAGUAUUAUGGAAAUGGGGUCAUCACACCCCCCUCUCUAAAGGGUCAGAUAGUAAAUAUCUUCGGCCUUACAAGCCAUGUGGUCUUUGUUGCAUUUUUUUUAACAACCCUUUAAAAAGGAAGAACUAUUCUUAGCUUGUGAACCAAGUGAAUUUGGUCUGUGGGCCAUAGAUACCCCUGAUGUAAAUGCUAGGGACUGGGCUGAAUAAUAUUAAUUUCCUUGUGUGCUUCGCCUGUCCCUUUGUAAACUAUGAAACUGCUUAGACUUCCAACUUUCAGAGUUGAUGAACAGAUAUUGAUUACACAGUAGAUACAGUCUACUGUCUAAGCACUGGAUAUAGAGAUUAAAAGAAACAUGAAUAUAGUGCUUUGUCAAAAGUAUGUAAUACCAUGCAGAUAUUAGGAAUUAAGUUGAUAACAUAUUCAUAUAUUUGUAGCCAUCGUUUUCUGUUGCGAUGGUGACUCUGAGUAAAACUAAAGUAUUCCAGGUAGCAGAAAAGAAAACAUGGAAACUGCUUUUAAACUCUGCAAUAUACGUAAGUUAUUGUGAUGACUUACAAUGUGCCAGAUAACAUGCUAGGCACUCCCGAUGACAAGGCAAAAAGAAAGUAUUCUCAAUUUACAAUUGAAAAUGUCAGCUAGGAAGUGCAUUUUCAAGUGCUUUGUAAACUAAAGCACUGAAUAAAUGCUAAUGGACUACAUUUAAUGAAUGAAUGAAUGAAUGAAUACUAAUUGCCUUUUAUGUGCCACUAUUGUUAUGAGGAAGGCAGUGUGAAUAGUUAUACAAAUUGAGAGUUUAAAUACUUGUUAAACUAUUGAAAGGAAUGAUCAUCAGUUGCCUACCAUGUGAACUCCUGGUUAUGGCACAAGGAGAUCUGUGCACUUAUCAUUUCAUUGUGCCUACAGCUGAGAAUAAGGCAAUAAAGCACCAUAGAACUAGAGCUGUUGAUUUCCUCAUUUGGUGCCAAGUACUAGGCUUACAGCCUUGUAACACAGUUCUGACUAUGAACCAAAGUUGGAAAAAACUUGGGGAUGGAUUGUUCACUAUUGAACACUGAAUAUAAUCUGUAAAAGAUUAAGUACAUGAUGAAUGCGAGACUGGAUAAUAAUUGCCUAUUAUGUACCAGUCUUUUCGCUAGGCAUUGAGAUGUGAAGAUAAACCAGCUUGUACUGUGUCCGGGGCAGCAGCACAGAAUGUGUAAAAACUUACAAGUCUUAAACUGCCAUACAUAUAUAAGCAAUACCUGCUGGUUGAACAUCAAUGAUUUACUCUCAUCCCCCAGAGAUGCAGAGUUUCAUAAUUCUUGCCGAACCUGCAGCAGAGGCCUGUGUGUACAUUUACCAUGCCUACUGUUCUAUACAGAUAAAAGGAAUUCACUUUGCCUGAAUGAAUGAUUACUGAUCACUUUCCAUGAGGCUCAGAACUGCAUAUGCCCUACGAUACAAAAAGGAUUAUAUCCUCAUAGGAUGCCCACUGGAGGAAAUGAGGUAGUAAGUGUGAGAUUCAGAUUUUACUUUACAGUUAUUUAAUGAUGAAAACAUGGGGAAAAUAUAAAUUUUUUUUGAAAGCAAGGUGUUCCGAUUCUCCAUCCGUUUUUUUAAUGCUGAAUACCGAAGAUGGAGGUGAUCACAUCUACCUUGGCCUGGCUUAGAGACAUUUAAGGAACAAAAAUAAAUGGCUCGGGUUUCCUUUUCAGUUCAUUUGAUAAACAGAGCAUAUUUUAUGUGAAAUAGAUCAUUCUAGGUCCUGAGCAUUACAGACGUGAAAUGGGACUACUCUAAAUGGCUUUACAUCGCAGAUCAUAGCCGAAGAUCUGAAAACACCUUUGAGUUUUGAGUAAAUAUUUGAGUACCUGUUUUCUGGAAGGCACUAUGCUAGAUGAAUUAGUUGAGUAGGUCUGGUCCAGAAAACCCAUUGACUUGCCUUGGAGAGUUAAAAACUAGGGCAAAAGGCAUGGUUCUUUUGAUACAAAAUGAAGACAUUUUCCCCUAGUUCUAUACAGUCCCAAAGUCACUUGCUCAUUGACCUAAUUUGAAGCCAGAAUGAUAAAGGGUUCAGGGUUUUGCCUUUAAUUCAUUAAUUUAAGAUUCUGCUUUUGUUGUAAAAUGGUUUAAGAUGAGAAGGUGAAACAACUGGUUUUAAAAGUAUUUGCUCGUUGGCCUGGCUUAAAGUCAGGAAGUCACUUGAGCAAUAAAAGAUUCUUUGUCAUUCCAUAUUUUGUAAAAAUGGAUUCACUCUGAAUAAAGUAGUGUCUGAGGAGAGUGAGCGGAUUCAAAAGACCUAGACCAAGAUGCACUUAAAUCUUACUAGCUUAUGGUAGAAACAGUAACAAAUUUAUGACUGCAGUUCUUUCAUUCGUUGAAGAACUUUCAUUGAGCAGCUGUGAUAUUAAGACACUGAGAAGUAAGUAAUGAUUAAACAGAUCAACUUCUCUUUGGCAUGUUUCACAGAGUGGGAGUGAGAGAAACUUUUAUUUAUUCAUUCAUACAAACAUUGGAAAAGGUGAUGCUAAAUGAAACAGGUCUGGUACAAAAGGCACUUUGUCUUGGAGAUGCAAUUGAAAAACAAGAAAUGGAAUGAAACCUUUUCAUUUAUUCAUUCAUUCUACAAGUAGGCCUAUUGUGUAUAAGGCCCUUUGCUAGGUUCUCAGUUGGCACCAGAGACUUGAGCAAAUGAAUGCUUUCCCACAGACAUUUUAAAACUUCCUUUUGGGUUGUUAGAAUUUCUGAUGAGGGGCUUAGACGCCGAACAACAUUGUACAAUUUAAUUCCUACUCCAUAUUUCUUCUACCAGUCUGGCCACCACGAUCAGCAGGGUUUUCCACUGAGCUUACUCCUUAGGUUUCAGGAACCAUCCCUGAUGAGAAAUAGCUGUGACCACUUGCUGGGCAGGAGGAGGGAUGGCAAAUGGCUAAUUCCCAAACCCCGGUCUCCGUGGCACCAGCCUUGGGGAACCACUCAUACCUAAGCCACAGUUGGUUUUGAAACGCAUUUACCAGUUCUUUUUUCUAUUCUUUACCUUUUACAUUCUUUCAAUUACCCACUAUAUAGGCCUCUGAAGAACAAUCCCCAGAUAGUACAUAGCAAGAUUGGAGACGGAGACCUGAUUUCUCUUUUGCAACAACUUUUCAACUUACACUUCAGAAAUCUCGGCAUCAAAACCUGCUCAAGAAAGAACUUGGUGUAACAGAAUAAUGUCAGUCGACGGAAAUAGCUUAAUUUUUACCAUACUGAAAUUGUAAGAAUCAUAAAAAUUGGAAGUAAUUGGCAAAAACUCGAAAAACAACCCAAAAUCUCUAAAUCGAGGCCCUCUGGGCUUUGACCUUUUCUAUUUUGAAAUCACUCACAGAGGGUGGGCUAGGAGGAAGAGUGAAAGAAUAGGUCAAAGCUCUUUCUGAGGACCGCCUGCCUUUGUCUGGAUUGGUCUUAAGACCAUGACUACCUCCAGGUCUAACGGGAAUUGCUUUUGUUACUUCAGUGCAAUUCCAAUAAUGCCAUUGUUGAGAUGAGGAUAAAAUUCUUUGUCACCACUCAUUUCUCUAAGUUCUUGAGAAACAACUUUUGGCUGAAUGGUUAUCAGCUAAGCCUUGGGUUAGAUAAUGAUGGGACUUAUUAAUCAAUUUGAAGAAGAUUUGAGGGUGGUGGGUGUAUUAGGAGAAAGGAGAAAGUAACUGAUAGCCUUCCUUUCGCAGUUUCUGGCACCCUACCACUACAGAUAAAACAAGAAUAAGACCACACACCACCAUCAUCCGAUUGUUGUGGCAUAAAGAAAGUUGUGAACAAACUGGUUUUCCUAUUGUUGUGGCAUAAAGAAAGUUGUGAACAAACUGGUUUUCCUAGGAAAUGGCUUCAUCUCUACCCUUCUGUGCCUCAAAGGGAAUGCAUGCAAAAAUGCUCCAGGAAACGGAAGACACUCUGACUUGUGAACUGACGUGAGAUGCAGAAUCUCUGAGCCUUGAGUGUUAGGAAGCUUGAACAGUUUUGCUAGCAUGAGUGACCAUGAAAAGCAAUCGAAAGCCAUCCAUCUACAUGUCACAACUGAGACAGAUCGGGGGAUAUGUUGUCUAAUGUCAAAUAAAAUGUACUGUUUUGGAAA